CCGUCACUUCAAUUCGUACGGCGAUUUUAAACGUGAUAGUAUCUAAUUAUAACCAGUAACUUACUGCUAAUUUAUUGCAGCAACUUAAUUAAGAUCAUCUAUAGUGUUAAUUAAGAAUCACCUCGAAUUAAAUGUUAAGCAAACAACAAUUAAUAUAAGUUUCUUAAAUUUUUUUUUUUUAAUCAUCAUGUUUCAUUUCAGGCUACUAAGAAUUGCAAGUAAUAAGUUACUUUAGCACGAAACAAAAGCAAGUCAUCCACAAAGCAAAGCCUAAUGAUAUAUAAUCAUAGAUAAAGACUGAAGAGUGUUAUCGUGCACAUCGUUUAAAAGAAUGAUAACAGCAAUCAAGAAGACAUCAUAACAAGAAUCGUAUUAACACGGGGUAAAGAAUAGAAAUGCUUUUGAUACUGAGCAAUCAUCAAAAAUCAUACAUCGAGUUACGUUCGGAUGAAUAAAAGUUUUAAUUAUUUUAACUUUUCAUAAAAGUACCCCCAAGAUAUGUUGGCAUACAACAGUAAUUAAGGAUUCAGCAAUUAAGAAAUUGUAUCUGUUUGUGAAUGGAACGAUACAUUUUAUGAAAUAAUCAGUUGAUUGAACGAUCCAAUAUGGCAACACACAAUUAGUUGAGUUAAUGGUUACAGAGAACAAUAAUAUUUUCAAGGACAAAUGGUGACAGCAAUCUGAUGGCCGAAUAUAAGCAAUAUUGGAGCCAAGAUGAUAGAGUGGUAAGUUUAGAUGGAGUGACCAUCUGUCAGGUAGGACCUGCUGUUUUUGACAUGGACACAAUCUAGUGGCUAACGGAAAAUUGUGUACUGCCAAUCUAAGGGUUGACAGUUGGACCUACUUGAUCCAUGACAAUAGAAUUAUUUCUAUGGAAACAGUUAAACUUUCAAAAACUCGGUUUAAACUAAUCUGUAGAUAAACGAGAGAUCGUUAACUCGGAGAAAAUUAGUUUUUAUACAAUACCAGUUAUAUAUCAACUUACCGGAUAAUAAGUAUGAUUUAUUAUUAUUAUUAUUAUUUAAUCACUGGCACGUUGUCUCUUAAAAGAAACAUCUUUUUGGACGGGCUGUAGGUACAACAAACAGACGAUCGAUACAAGCAACUAACGUACUUAGUAGAAGUUUUCAGCUCACAAAUAGUAAAAGGGGAUUAAAACGGGGGUGGACUUACAGCGGCGGCGACCAUCACCAGAAAACGCUUGUGUAAUUAGCAUAGACCCACUCGAUUCAAGUGUCCUCUUCCAAUCACCAAGGAGACAAAAUAAUCGUGAAAGAGAAAGAGAGAUGGGUAGUUAAUGUAAAACUGGAUUAAAAGGAACCAUCUCUACUGUGCUGUUUGCACAAGACAGAAUAGUCUCCCCUCGAUCCUGCCGAAAGCCGCUUACAUAUUUGUAAAGGUACGUGAUCAAGCACCAACCCAGUUCAUCAAGAACCCUCAAUACUUCCCUCUGGGUACGGCAAAGCUCACUGAUGAGCACGACUUGACGAUCAAACACCACAUGGAUGUAUUCCCCUUUCGGUGAUUCGGAGCUGAAAGUUUUUCUUUGACGUUCGUUUUAGCUUCUCGUUCGUUUGUAUUAACGGUGGCAAUGAUGGGACAAUCGAACGACGAAA